rnacentral:rRNA from 1 species
AUUGAACGCUGGCGGCAGGCCUAACACAUGCAAGUCGAGCGGAGCGGCGGACGGGUGAGUAAUGCCUAGGAAUCUGCCUGGUAGUGGGGGAUAACGUCCGGAAACGGGCGCUAAUACCGCAUACUAUCAGAUGAGCCUAGGUCGGAUUAGCUAGUUGUUGGGGUAAAGGCCUACCAUGGCGACGAUCCGUAACUGGUCUGAGUGGAUGAUCAGUCACACUGGAACGGAGACACGGUCCGUAAUCCUAAGGAAGGCAGCAGUGGGGAAUAUUGGAAAAUGGGCGAAAUCCUGAUCCAGCCAUGCCGCGUGUGUGAAGAAGGUCUUCGGAUUGUAAAGCACUUUAAGUUGGGAGGCGUUACCAACAGAAUAAGCACCGGCUAACUUCGUGCCAGCAGCCGCGGUAAUAC